GUCAAUAAAUGUCAAAUUUUUAGUUAAGAUUGAUUCUGUCUUAUUUAAUUGGCUAUAGUUUGAUAAUUUUAUAUACGAGUUUUUGCGUGAGGAAAUUUUGUCUUAAAGAUGAUUAAUUUUUAUUUGUAGUUUUUAAUUUUGUAGAUUUUGGAAACAUUGAUUCAGUUAAUUUAUUUUAGAAUUGUUUAAAGUUGUGCCAGCAUACGCGGUUACACAAUUAAUUCAGGUUAAUUUUUUUGGUUUGUAUUUAUUUUAUUUUUGGAGAUUCAAUUGAUUAUUUAUUGGGUGAAAUUUUAAUUUUAAUAAUAUUCUCUUGGUUUUAGAUUAUAUGAAAUA
rnacentral:rRNA from 1 species